UGGCGGACGGGUGAGUAAUGUCUGGGAAACUGCCUGAUGAGGGGGAUAACUACUGAAACGGUAGCUAAUACCGCAUAACGUCGCAAGACCAAAGAGGGGGACCUUCGGGCCUCUUGCCAUCGGAUGUGCCCAGAUGGGAUUAGCUAGUAGGUGGGGUAACGGCUCACCUAGGCGACGAUCCCUAGCUGGUCUGAGAGGAUGACCAGCCACACUGGAACUGAGACACGGUCCAGACUCCUACGGGAGGCAGCAUG
rnacentral:rRNA from 1 species